rnacentral:tRNA from 163 species
GGAAGAUCGUCAUCUCCGGUGAGGUGGCUGGACUUCAAAUCCAGUUGGGGGCGCCAGCGUUCCCGGGCAGGUUCGACUCCUGUGAUCUUCCGCCA